CCUGGUUGAUCCUGCCAGUAGUCAUAUGCUUGUCUCAAAGAUUAAGCCAUGCAUGUCUAAGUUCAAGCGAAAAUAAAGUGAAACCGCGAAUGGCUCAUUACAUCAGUUAUGGUUCCUUAGAUUCUACUAACUACUUGGAUAACUGUGGUAAUUCUAGAGCUAAUACAUGCGCUGGGCUCCGACCUGUGAAGGAAGGGGCGCUUUUAUUAGAUCAAAGCCAAUCGGGGUUUCGGCUCCGUAUUUCUGGUGACUCUGAAUAACAUUGCUGAUCGUACGGCCUUGUGCCGACGACGAGUCUUUCAAGUGUCUGCCUUAUCAACUGUCGAUGGUAGGUUAUGCGCCUACCAUGGUUGUAACGGGUAACGGGGAAUCAGGGUUCGAUUCCGGAGAGGGAGCCUGAGAAACGGCUACCACAUCCAAGGAAGGCAGCAGGCGCGCAAAUUACCCACUCCCGGCACGGGGAGGUAGUGACGAAAAAUAACGAUACGGAACUCAUACGAGGCUCCGUAAUCGGAAUGAGUACACUUUAAAUCCUUUAACGAGGAUCUAUUGGAGGGCAAGUCUGGUGCCAGCAGCCGCGGUAAUUCCAGCUCCAAUAGCGUAUAUUAAAGUUGUUGCGGUUAAAAAGCUCGUAGUUAGAUCUCGGUUUCACUCAGGUGGUACACCUUGCGGUGUUCACUAUCUGGGUGGACGUUUCUGUUGGUUCGCUCUUGGUGCUCUUCAUCGGGUGCCAUUUGGUGGCCAGCACGUUUACUUUGAAAAAAUUGGAGUGCUCAAAGCAGGCGUUACAGCCUGAACAUUAGUGCAUGGAAUAAUGGAAUAGGAUCUCGAUUCUAUUUCGUUGGCUUUCGGAGUCGAGGUAAUGAUUAAUAGGGACAGACGGGGGCAUUCGUACUGCGACGUUAGAGGUGAAAUUCUUGGAUCGUCGCAAGACGAACUACUGCGAAAGCAUUUGCCAAGAAUGUUUUCAUUAAUCAAGAACGAAAGUUAGAGGUUCGAAGGCGAUCAGAUACCGCCCUAGUUCUAACCAUAAACGAUGCCAACCGGCGAUCCGUCGUCGUUAAUUGAAUGACUCGACGGGCAGCCUCCGGGAAACCAGAGUGUUUGGGUUCCGGGGGAAGUAUGGUUGCAAAGCUGAAACUUAAAGGAAUUGACGGAAGGGCACCACCAGGAGUGGAGCCUGCGGCUUAAUUUGACACAACAC
rnacentral:rRNA from 1 species